AGGAUAUGUAGUCAGCCAUUUCAUACAGUUUCUUCCAAAACAAAUAGAGUAAUUGUAUGUCCAAAACCCGAGAAAAAAGGAGAGAAGGACUACAUUUAAAUUUUAUCCAAAGCAGGGGCUGGCACGUCGUGUUACCUUCACUGAAUUAAACACCGUCUUUUAUCUAAUCGACCAGUUAGAUUUAACUACUUUCCAUUACAACAACUUUUAUCUGUGGAAUUCUUCUGUUGGACACGACGACUGCCAGCCCCUGCUUAAGCGGGCCUCUGACCCAAAUCUGAGAUUGUACCCUAAGAACAUGCAGACGGACAGCAGCAGACAACAAAUUCCACAAGUGCUCGAGAGACAAGAGAUGUCUUCACCCUCUUACACCGAGCUACAACCCUUCUCACCCCAAAGGGAAGAAGACCAGCAUAAGGAAGAUCAUCCCUGUAUUCAUUCUAACAGCAUUAUAAAUAUAACACAGAUUUCCCCUACAAGUAAUACUUCUUUCAUGGAUCAUUUUAAGAAUCAAACAAAUCUUUCUGACAAAAUUAAACUUUUUAUUUUUAUUAGGGAAUGGUAUUCAAAUAUAGAAGAAGGAUUCAGUAUUGAUGCAGAUAGACCAUCCUUCUUAAGACGCUGUCCUGAGGGCGUCCAAAAACAACAUGCAUAUGCUGAUAUUUUAUUGGAAAAUGAUGAAAGAAUAAAGUCCAAAACAUUUUUUCCAGAUCAUUCUAAGAUUUCAGGCUCCUCACCAAAACGUACCAAACACAGUGAGGAAAUUUUAUUUGAAGAAAUGGAUAAAGAAUUGCAGAGAUGUGGAACCAAAGUUAAACUGAUUUGUAUAUAUACCUAUAAUAGUCCAUGCUUAAAGAGAGUAAAGAACUAUUGUGACUGUAUGACUCAACUUGUAGAGAGAGCUUAUCAAUGGCACAGUAAAUAUGGAUGUGUGACUCAACUAUACUUCACAGAGCCUUGGGGACUAAGUGGACCAGAUAUAUUCAAAUACCUGUCAUAUUCUGAGAACCCAGGUACCAGUAACCUUAACUUUAGCCCGGGCGAAAAACAAAUCCAAAAAAUGAGAAAGAAAAAUAACGCUAUAUUCAGUUAUAUCAAAUGGGUUAAAGAUGGACGCAAAGACCUACAAAAAGAGUUAAAGUCUGCUGUCUCUAAACUUCUCAAUUUGGCAAAAACUUCCAGAGGAUUUGGGAUAAAUCAGCAUAAGGAGCAUGGAUUGAAAUACAUUAAGUCACUCAAAUUUCCCACAGAGGUCCAUGAUCAAAUCAUUGAGACUUUGACAAAAAAUUGGAUUGAUAUGGUUCAAAAUAGUUUAGUGUCUUUCAUAAAAAAAAACACAUCAGAUUUCAACCUUAAAGUAGUCAAACUUUUUGUCCGAGAACUAAGAAUUGAUUUGGGUAACAGCGGCUUCUUACAGAUUUACCAGGUCCCACCGGGCACUGAUAUGGAGGAGUGAGAAUAUGUUCAAUGAAUUAAUACUUCCUUUUGACCACAAUUCAUUAUGAAACACAAGAUUUAUUUUAUAAUUUCAUUACUAUAUAUUGAAUUUUAUCAUUUUAUAAUAAACGUUGGUUUACAAUUGUUAAUAGGGCUCAAAUGACUCUUGAACUCUUUUGAAGUGUUUGUCUGGAAGUGUGUCUGCUCUGUCCUGAGCUUUUAAAUAAAAUAAAUAAUGAAAACUUACAUUUGAAGCCUGAGUGGUCACUUUGUUCCUUCAUUAUCAACAACAUGUAUAUGCCUGUUCAACAGGUGUGUGGACAAGAGCGGGUUAUGUAAGUAGGCGAGGACAGAAAAAUGGACUAAGAUAGUGGAUGGUGUUGAGGCAGGAAGGACAUAAUCCACAUUUGACUACCCCAGAGAUACCCCAAAGUCAGCAACUGGAUCUCCUACCAAAAUGGACUACAUAAAAUAAUGCAGAAUUUUUAAUUACAAAGUUUUUUAACUAUACUUGUUCCUUUAUGUCACUUAACAAUAUAGAACAAGGGGAAAGGGAAGAACCCUUCAGUCAGUCUGGUCUUUGUCAUAGGAAUCUCUGCCUCUGAUUUUUUUUGUUUGUACGUUUCUUUUUUUAGUUUUAUCUGUUCCGGGGAGGAAGUUAACAUACAAAGUGAGUGCUUUGAAAAAGAAAUAAAGGUACAUAAAUAAAUAAAAUAAAUCUAUUUCGAUUGUCUGAUUUUCCUUUGCCCCUUGGGAUGCAGGAAAGUUUCAUUUUCACACCUUUUGAACGAAAAACAAAAGUGCAACUAUAAGAAGCAUCAGGCUUCCACACCUUAACAUACGUAAGCAAAGUGGGCAUGGCGCCAAAAGAUUGGCUUCAAUGAUUGGCUUAGGUAGGAUAUGUAGUCAGCCAUUUCAUACAGUUUCUUCCAAAACAAAUAGAGUAAUUGUAUGUCCAAAACCCGAGAAAAAAGGAGAGAAGGACUACAUUUAAAUUUUAUCCAAAGCAGGGGCUGGCACGUCGUGUUACCUUCACUGAAUUAAACACCGUCUUUUAUCUAAUCGACCAGUUAGAUUUAACUACUUUCCAUUACAACAACUUUUAUCUGUGGAAUUCUUCUGUUGGACACGACGACUGCCAGCCCCUGCUUAAGCGGGCCUCUGACCCAAAUCUGAGAUUUGACCCUAAGAACAUGCAGACGGACAGCAGCAGACAACAAAUUCCACAAGUGCUCGAGAGAGAGGAGAUGUCUUCACCCUCUUACACCGAGCUACAACCCUUCUCACCCCAAAGGGAAGAAGACCAGCAUAAGGAAGAUCAUCCCUGUGCCAUUUAUUCUAACAGCAUUAUAAAUAUAACACAGAUUUCCCCUACAAGUAAUAGUUCUUUCAUGGAUCAUUUUAAGAAUCAAACAAAUCUUUCUGACAAAAUUAAACUUUUUAUUUUUAUUAGGGAAUGGUAUUCAAAUAUAGAAGAAGGAUUCAGUAUUGAUGCAGAUAGACCAUCCUUCUUAAGACGCUGUCCUGAGGGCGUCCAAAAACAACAUGCAUAUGCUGAUAUUUUAUUGGAAAAUGAUGAAAGAAUAAAGUCCAACAAUGUUUUUCCAGAUCAUUCUAAGACUUCAGGCUCCUCACCAAAACGUACCAAACACAGUGAGGAAGUUUUAUUUGAAGAAAUGGAUAAAGAAUUGCAGAGAUGUGGAACCAAAGUUAAACUGAUUUGUAUAUAUACCUAUAAUAGUCCAUGCUUAAAGAGAGUAAAGAACUAUUGUGACUGUAUGACUCAACUUGUAGAGAGAGCUUAUCAAUGGCACAGUAAAUAUGGAUGUGUGACUCAAGUGUACUUCACAGAGCCUUGGGGACUAAGUGGAUCAAAUAUAUUCAAAUACCUCUCAUAUUCUGAGAACCCAGGUACCAGUAGCCUUAACUUUAGACUGGACGAAAAACAAAUCCAAAAAAUGAGAAAAGAAAAUAACGCUAUAUUCAGUUAUGUCAAAUGUGUUAAAGAUGGACGCAAAGACCUACAAAAAGAGUUAAAGUCUGCUGUCUCUAAACUUCUCAAUUUGACAAAAACUUCCAGAGGAUUUGGGAUAAAUCAGCAUAAGGAGCAUGGAUUGAAAUACAUUAAGUCACUCAAAUUUCGCACAGAGGUCCAUGAUCAAACCAUUGAGACUUUGACAAAAAAUUGGAUUGAUAUGGUUCAAAAUAGUUUAGUGUCUUUCAUUAAAAAAAAAACAUCAGAUUUCAACCUUAAAGUAGUCAAACUUUUUGUCCGAGAUCUUAGAAUUUAUUUGGGUAACAGCGGCUUCUUACAGAUUUACCAGGUCCCACCGGGCACUGAUAUGGAGGAGUGAGAAUAUGUUCAAUGAAUUAAUACUUCCUUUUGACCACAAUUCAUUAUGAAACACAAGAUUUAUUUUAUAAUUUCAUUACUAUAUAUUGAAUUUUAUCAUUUUAUAAUAAACGUUGGUUUACAAUUGUUAAUAGGGCUCAAAUGACUCUUGAACUCUUUUGAAGUGUUUGUCUGGAAGUGUGUCUGCUCUGUCCUGAGCUUUUAAAUAAAAUAAAUAAUGAAAACUUA